rnacentral:rRNA from 1 species
UCAGGAUGAACGCUAGCGACAGGCCUAACACAUGCAAGUCGAGGGGCAGCGCGGGAGAAGCUGCUUUCCUGGCGGCGACCGGCGCACGGGUGCGUAACAGGUGUGCAAUCUGUCCAUAGUCGGGGAAUAGCCCAGCGAAAGUUGGAUUAAUGCUCCAUGUGAAUCGAGACCGCAUGAUCUUGAUUUGAAACGUAAGGACUAUGGGUGAGCACGCUUCUGAUUAGAUAGUUGGUGAGGUAACGGCUCACCAAGUCGACGAUCAGUAGGGUUCUGAGAGGAAGGUCCCCCACAUUGGAACUGAGACACGGUCCAAACUCCUACGGGAGGCAGCAGUGAGGAAUAUUGGUCAAUGGGCGAGAGCCUGAACCAGCCAAGUCGCGUGAAGGAUGAAGGUUCUAUGGAUUGUAAACUUCUUUUGUCCGAGGGUAAAAAAGGCCACGUGUGGCUUCUUGCAAGUAUCGGACGAAUAAGCAUCGGCUAACUCCGUGCCAGCCGCCGC